rnacentral:rRNA from 1 species
UACAGAGGGUGCGAGCGUUAAUCGGAAUUAUUGGGCGUAAAGGGCAUGUAGGUGGUUUUAAAAGUUUGAUGUGAAAGCCCCGGGCUUAACCUGGGAAUGGCGUUGAAUACUAUAAGACUAGAGUCGGACAGAGGGUAGUGGAAUUUCCGGUGUAGCGGUGAAAUGCGUAGAGAUCGGAAAGAACACCAGUGGCGAAGGCGGCUACCUGGGACCAGACUGACACUGAGGUGCGAAAGCGUGGGGAGCAAAC